GCCACCCCUGAGACAGCAAGACCAACAACCCCUUCUCUUCCUCUUCAGCCUACUCAGUGUGAAGAUGAUGGUCAUUUUUUUUUUUUUGCCUGCUGCCAUCCAUGUAAGAUGUGAUUUGCUGCUCCUUGCCUUCUGCCAUAAUUGUGAAGCCUCCCCAGCUAUGUGGAACUAAAAUGAAACAGUUGGUGAUGUUUCAGAGAACCCAACUCAAACUGACUUGAACAAGAGAAAUCAGUGUUUACUGCAGAGAACACAGAAGCCAGCAAGCAGCAGGGAAGGGAGGCGAACCAAUGCAGCAGCCCACCGGGACCGAGGAGGACACACGCAGAGCAAGUCACAGGAAGCGCAGCUGAAAACAAAUGGACGCUUAUCCCAAAUGCACAGGACACUUACCAAGAACUGAUGGUCCGUCAAAGUAAAGCUCAACAGCUUUGGCUGGCAGGACAGUCAAACUUUUGGACGACAGAAAGUAACAGUGGGAAAUGGGACAACAUCUGCCAGCAACGCGAGAGGCCAAGACCAUGGCUGCUACAGGAGGGGUCAGCGUCACAGUACACGCAUGGCGGCGGUUGCACAUGCAUGCCUGGGGAAUGCUUCUCCAUCAUUCUCUGUUCCUUGGAAGCGUGAGGGCUAAGGAGCUGCUGACUUCUCUCUCUUGGCCCCACUUCAAGAAAGGCUUGCUUCCCACACACCUCUCCACGCUCCCAGUGCGGGACUGACACUCUGCACCGGGAGGCCAAGGGCCACCAUCGUCUUGCUGAUUAUAUGUCAAGUUCUGUGUGAAAUGAGAGACCAUGGGGAUUCAUUAUUGCUGGAGUUGACGGUAUUGCAGUUUUAUAACCAUCUAAUAAAUUAGCAUUUAAUACUGAGAGAUUUCAUCUUAAACUCAGAGGAUUGCUUUGUUUUAAAGAAGAUUUUUGCAAGGAGAAGCAAUGGAAACCAUUCAGAAAAUGUGGGAGAUAAAAAUCCUAUUCAAGAAAACGGAUCUUGGAUCUUUGCAUUCACUUGAUUUGUCAGAAUAUUAUUCUGUGCUAAAAAAUAGAAGGGAUUAAAUGUUAAAAAUCACUGAGGCACAA
ensembl:lncRNA LINC00639 long intergenic non-protein coding RNA 639